GUGCUUGCAGUCUCUGGAGCAGGAGGUAUGAGGCUUGUGUAAUUGGAAGCAGAAGGCUUGGCAUUGCUUCACGGUUCUGCAAGCAGAGCCUUGGCAUGCACUGCUGGUGCCUAUGCUUUAAUCUGACUUGCAGCACUUCAGGCUUACAUUGACAGCAGCCGAAUCCCCUGGUUAGACCUGCAGAUGCAGCUUAAAUGUAGAAGAACAGAUUCCCCUUACUUUUCUUCUGCAACAUCCUCAUUCAUCUUUUCGUUGGGCAGAGUGUGAGACAGUGUUGUGUAACUGACUGCACAUUCAACAGCCAGCCUUUUGGACUGUCUUUGCCAAGGAAGCAGGCUGAGGCUUUGGAAAUCCUGUCCCCGGGCCAGGCGGCCCCUUCUCGUUCAUGGGGAACACUGCAAGGAGCUGGAGAGCUGGCUGGCUAGGCAAAAAGCUGUGAGCUCGUAAUGUCUCAACAAGUAACAGGACAACUUUGAUACCACUGACUCACUGUGGGAACCAGCCUUACCCAGGCCAGCACACACCAUCUGGAGUGGAGCAGGGCCUCCUCGGAGACCUGCAGCAUUGCUGGGGUACCCAGACACCCCACGCCUGGGGAUUUCCUGCUCCUCCAAUCCUUGCUUUUCCCUGCAACUCUUGGCAUGAAAGAGAGCAACUUCAGAGCACCAAAGCUGUGCCUAUCACCCUCUGACAGUGCCUUCGCUCUCUGAUUAGAUGGUCCCCUUGUGCGUUUUGAAGGGGAAGGCAGGUAGUCAAGCUGCUUCUUUCUCCCUCCUUUUGGGGCAUGAAGCAAGAAGAAGGGAUGAACUGGAGACAAGGAGGUCCCCCAGCUCUCUGUCCCUGCUGGUGGAGACCUGGUGCAGAGCUGGGUCCCCACUGACACGCGCAUUUAGUCUGGCCUGAGCUUGUCAGACAGUGGGACGAGGCUGCUCCAUCACGCAGAGGGGCUGGCUCUGGAAAGCCACAGUCUUCUGUUUGAGGGGAAGUCACAGAUCUGCGGGAGAGAAAAGCCAGCACAAAUGCUCCUUUUCCUACAAUGAGCGGAAAAAAGAAAUGUGGGGCAGAUCACCAAUGCCUGCUACUGCCUGCUCCCCUCCUGUGGAAGAGGGAAGUUUUUGGAGCCGGAAGGUUCCCCACACCUCUCUUAAGUGCUGCAGCUGAGAUACUGAAGAAAAGGUGCUGCUUUCUCCUCUUGUGGCUGUUUUCUGACGGGCAAAAAAGCAUGAUGUGGGAACUGGAGUUAAGCCUUGCAGAAAAGAUGGGUAGAGGAGAUGGAUACAAGGGAGAGCUUAACCACAGGACACAGGCAGGGGUGGCUGACACCAGCAGCACUGAGGCAUCCUGAGCAUCCUCAGAGUGGGGAACGCAGAGGAAGGGUACCACCAGCACCAGGUCCAGGGGGUUCAUAAGCAUGCUCUGGAUAUGUAACUACUGCCAAAGGUGUGUGUUUCAGUCAAGCCAACUACAAGGUUAGACUCCUUGCAAACAAACAAACACGCACACAAUGUACAAACCAGGCAAACAGAAGCCAUGUCCUGAAAGGCCGUAUUUCAGUGAGAUGGAUGGAGUUAAGAGUCAUCGUGCACGUAGUGGCAUUCCCCUGUGAUAUUGUGGGCUUUGGCCUCGAGAGCAGAGCAACGAGGCUCCGUCUGCAGAAAGAGACAGACUUGAAACUAACGUUACAUGUUUGUGGAAAACAGAAGCAGCUGUUUUGCAGACAAACUAAUAAAAGUCGGCAUCUCUCGUAAGAACAAGAUUUAGCUCAACUAUAACUCUAAAGUAUCUGCAUUCCAAAAUGCUUUGGAAAAAACAGCCUCUUCUGCCUUCACAGAAUAAGUUGAACAAUCAAAAAAAAGAGUUUUCAAAAUAAGUUGUGCAACUGGAAAGCCGCUUUCUGAGUUUACUGAAGCUGGUACACAGCAUUUCUACCUGCUGCUGGGCAGCUGGGGGUUUGAUUGCUUUAGACAUGAUAAAUACAACCUGUCCAAGAGACCACACUGAGCUCUGAGCCAACUUGUACCAAACUAAGCCAGGCGUCCUGCGGUCUUACUUCUCCCCAUCACCUUCUGGAAGUUAAAACAGAUAUCUGUGAUUAAGUGGGUUGCCCUAAACAGACAGGGAUGGUGAUAUAAUUAAGAUAUCUAGGAUAUCUACAGACAGAUAUCUGUAGAUCUAUACACAGAUCUACAGGCUCUCUCUCUUCCUACCAUGAAAUACAUCCUUAUUAGGCUCUCUCAGACCUCCAACUUUCAGAUUUUUCCUCUCUUCUCCUCAUAUCUUCAGCAUGUUUUGAGGCAACACUGAGUCCACAGUAGUAGUAAUUAAACAAAAAACAAACAAACAACAAGAAAACAAACAAAAAACAGAGCACACAUUAGGCUUUAUUCACUGCAGGAAUAGAUGGGGGAAUUUGAAAUCACCAAGUCAGUCCCAUUACUGUACGGAUACAUUUGGUCUGUCAUCUAUUAAAAUGCAUGACUGUAUGUGCCUGGCAAGUGCUUCAAAGUUGUUCUUUUGAUCUUUACAAAGAUAAAACUGUAAUAUUUUUGUAGGUAUAUAAGAACAUUAGUUACUGGACUAGUUAAAAACCACUUAACUUUUGAAACUGAUGCCAUCUGUUUCCUAUUUUUAUUUAUAGAACAAUAUACUCAGCCUCUGAAGACUUCUCUAACAAGCCCUCUCUUACAAAAUAUCAGUGAUGUUUUGGCCAAGACAGCUGAGCUCCUGCUCGACAGGUUUGUGGAUGGGGCUGGCCAUCCAAACAAAGGACUGCGAAAAUGAGAAAACAAGGAGAAAAGUCAGACAGCAAGCCACCUAAGAGCCUUUCACUCAUCCCUCAAGUCAGCUCUUCAGUAAGAACACUACCUUGGUUAGGCUUCAGGCUUCUCUAUUAUAGCAAACGGCGUAUGAGAUUCUCGCAACCCAACCCAAACCUGCACCUUACUGAGCUUCAUGCAAGUCCCUCUCGGGGAUGCACACAGGUUUAUAUUCCACUGAGAAAACCAGUAAGUAGGAAUUAAAAGAUUUGUUACAUUGGCACCUCUCCCUUAAGGAUUUGGAAAUGUUUUCAUAAACAAUUAUUUGCAACAAGUUUUAGUCAUUAAACCGACAAAUUAUCAAAAA